UGGGGAAUCUUCCGCAAUGGACGAAAGUCUGACGGAGCAACGCCGCGUGAGUGAAGAAGGUUUUCGGAUCGUAAAACUCUGUCUUUUGGGGCGAACGUGAGUAUGGUGAAUGAAUCAUAGUCAGUGACGGUACCAAAGGAGGAAGCCACGGCUAACUACGUGCCAGCAGCCGCGGUAAUACGUAGGUGGCAAGCGUUGUCCGGAAUUAUUGGGCGUAAAGAGCGCGUAGGCGGGAUAGUCAGUCUGUUGUAAAGUGCGGGGCUCAACCCCGUGAUCGCAAUGGAAAGCAGCUAUUCUUGAGUGCAGGAGAGGAAAGUGGAAUUCCCAGUGUAGCGGUGAAAUGCGUAGAUAUUGGGAGGAACACCAGUGGCGAAGGCGACUUUCUGGACUGUGUCUGACGCUGAGGCGCGAAAGCCAGGGGAGCGAACGGGAUUAGAUACCCCGGUAGUCCUGGCCGUAAACGAUGGGUACUAGGUGUGGGAGGUAUCGACCCCCUUUGCCG
rnacentral:rRNA from 1 species